AUGGUGCAUCAAGCUCAGGGCCUGCUCGUGCAGGAGGUGGCCGCCGACGGGGAGCUGCCGAGCCGCUACGUGCUCAAGGAGCAGCAGGGCCGCCCGGCCGCCGCCGCGGCCGCACAGCGUGCCGCUCCGUCCAUCCCCACCGUGGACGUGAGCCGCCUUGCCGACGCCGACCCCAGCGAGGCCGACAAGCUCCGGUCGGCUCUCGACUCCUGGGGCCUCUUCGCGGUGACCGGUCACGGCAUGACGGACCCGUUCCUCGACGCGAUCCUCGGCGCCGCGCGGGGGUUCUUCCACCUGCCGACGGAGGCGAAGCAGGAGUACAGCAACGUGGUCGACGCCGACGACGGCGGCCGCAAGUUCCAGCCAGAGGGCUACGGCGUCGACCGCGUCGACACCGACGAGCAGGUCCUCGACUGGUGCGACCGGCUCUACCUCCAGGUCCGGCCGGACGACGCGCGGCAGCUCCGCUUCUGGCCGACCCACCCGCCGGACCUCGCCGAGCUCCUCAAAGAGUUCAGCGUCGAGGGCGAGAAGGUGGCCAAGCUCGUCGUCACGGCCAUGGCGAGGUGCCUGGGCUUCGAGGAUGGGUUCUUCGUGGACAAGGUCGGCGACCGGAUGCCGUCGUACGCGCGGUUCACCUACUACCCGCCCUGCCCGCGCCCGGACCUCGUGCACGGGCUCAAGCCCCACACCGACAACUCCGUGGUCACCGUGCUCCUCCUCGACGACCAAGUCGGCGGCCUCCAGGUUCUGAAAGACGGCAGCUGGGUCGACGUGCCCGUGCUGGGCGACGGCCGACACCAGCUGCUGGUCGUGGUCGGCGACGAGAUGGAGAUCAUGAGCAACGCGGCGUUCAGGGCGCCGGUACACCGGGUGAUGGCGCCGGGGGAGGAGGCGGAGCGGGUGUCGCUGGCGGUGUUCUACCAGCCGGAGCCGGACAAGGUGCUCGAGCCGUCGCCCGAGCUGAUCGACGGGGACCGGCCGGCGAUGUACAAAAAGCUCCAGGCCAAGGUCUUCGCCGACGGCUUCUGGGACGCGUUCGCGCUCGGGGAACGCACCAUCGACUUCCUCAAGGUCAAGGUCGACGCCGUCGAUCCGCCGGCGGCGGCCGUUUCCGGCGCUUGA
rnacentral:rRNA from 1 species